rfam:Ciona savignyi cont_49896, whole genome shotgun sequence.
UGUCCUCAGUCCCGGGUCGUCUCGGCGCGGUUCCGAGCGGUCGCUCCCUCGCGAGGUGCCGCGGGUCAGCGGCUGACGCCAGCCACCUUCCCGACCCGUCUUGAAACACGGACCAAGGAGUCUAACAUGUGCGCGAGCCGCGGGGCAGUACGAAACCCGUAAGGCGAAAUGAAGGUGAACGCCGGCGCGGUCCGGCGGAGGUUGGAUCCCGUCCCGUCGGGGCGGGCGCACUACCGGCCGUUCUUCUCCGCCCUGUCGGCGAGGUCGAGCGAGAGCGUGCAAGUCGGGACCCGAAAGAUGGUGAACUAUGCCUGAGGAGGUUGAAGCCAGAGGAAACUCUGGUGGAGGACCGUAGCGAUUCUGACGUGCAAAUCGAUCGUCAAAUUUGGGUAUAGGGGCGAAAGACUAAUCGAACCGUCUAGUAGCUGGUUCCCUUCGAAGUUUCCCUCAGGAUAGCUGGCGCUCUGUCGCAGUUUUAUCUGGUAAAGCGAAUGAUUAGAGGUCUUGGGGGCGAAACGCCCUCAACCUAUUCUCAAACUUUAAAUUGGUAAGAAGCCCGACUCGCUCGUUUGGAGCCGGGCAU